rnacentral:rRNA from 1 species
GGACUACUGGGGUAUCUAAUCCUGUUUGCUCCCCACGCUUUCGCGCCUCAGCGUCAGUAUCGGACCAGGUCGCCGCCUUCGCCACCGGUGUUCUUCCCAAUAUCUACGAAUUUCACCUCUACACUGGGAAUUCCACGACCCUCUUCCGAACUCAAGCCCGUACGUAUCAAACGCAGUCCCCAGGUUGAGCCCGGGAAUUUCACGUCUGACUGUACGAACCGCCUACGCGCCCUUUACGCCCAGUCAUUCCGAGCAACGCUAGCCCCCUUCGUAUUACCGCGGCUGCUGGCAC